rnacentral:rRNA from 1 species
GCAUCGAUGAAGAACGCAGCGAAAUGUGAUAAGUAAUGUGAAUUGCAGAAUUCAGUGAAUCAUCGAAUCUUUGAACGCACCUUGCACUCCUUGGUAUUCCGAGGAGUAUGUCUGUUUGAGUGUCAUGAAUUCUUCAACCC